GAGAGAGGAAGGGCGGCUACCGGCGGCAACGCUGAGGAAAGUCCCCUCACCAUCUGGACCGCGGACACAUGCAAGUGUGUAGGGUGAGAAUCCUGGCUCUGGAACAGAAACGAUACCGCUGCGCAGAAAUGCGAUGAGCUCGAAAGAGCGAGGUCAUGCGUAUUGCGGAUGGAACGGCGAAUCCCCGCGGGUGCAAGCCGAAAUAGGACAGAAAGGGCAGUCCAGACCUGUCCGAGUACGGCGCAUAGCUGAAUGCUGCACGGCAUUGCCCCUUGCGCUGAACAUAAAGGGGCUUACUCUCCUCACUC
rnacentral:RNase_P_RNA from 1 species